rnacentral:rRNA from 1 species
UACGUAGGGGGCAAGCGUUGUCCGGAUUUAUUGGGCGUAAAGAGCGUGUAGGCGGCCGUACAGGUCAGCUGUGAAAACUCGAGGCUCAACCUCGAGACGUCGGUUGAAACCACCUGGCUAGAGUCCGGAAGAGGAGAGUGGAAUUCCCGGUGUAGCGGUGAAAUGCGCAGAUAUCGGGAAGAACACCCGUGGCGAAGGCGGCUCUCUGGGACGGUACUGACGCUGAGACGCGAAAGCGUGGGGAGCGAACAGG